UACGUAGGGGGCUAGCGUUGUCCGGAAUCAUUGGGCGUAAAGCGCGUGUAGGCGGUCCGGUAAGUCCGCUGUGAAAGUCGGGGGCUCAACCCCGUCGGAUGCCGGUGGAUACUGUCGGGCUUGAGUACGGAAGAGGCGAGUGGAAUUCCUGGUGUAGCGGUGAAAUGCGCAGAUAUCAGGAGGAACACCAAUUGCGAAGGCAGCUCGCUGGGACGUUACUGACGCUGAGACGCGAAAGCGUGGGGAGCAAACAGG
rnacentral:rRNA from 1 species